CUAAGGUCCCAAAUGCCGUGCUAAGUGGCGAAGGAUGUGGCGUUUCAUAAACAACCAGGAUGUUGGCUCAGAAGCAGCCACCAUUUAAAGAGUGCGUAAUAGCUCACUGGUCGAGAGACGCUGCGCCGAAAAUGUCCGGGGCUCAAGCACGGAACCGAAGCUAUGGCAUUGCGUAAGCAAUGGGUAGGGGAGCGUUCUUAUGGGGAAGAAGCAUUACCGUAAGGAGAUGUGGACACAUAAGAAGUGAGAAUGCCGGUAUGAGUAUCGAAAAGAAAGGUGAGAAUCCUUUCCACCGAAAGCCCGAGGGUUCCUGAGCAACGAUCGUCGUCUCAGGGUAAGUCGGGACCUAAGCCGAGGCACAGACGCAUAGGCGAUGGACAACAGGUUGAAAUUCCUGUACCGGAUGGAGUCAUUUGAGCAAUGGAGUGACGCAGGAGGGCACAUGAUCGCGCGACUGGAAGAGCGCGUCCAAGUGCGUAUGUUGAAUCGGAGGCAAAUCCCCGAUUCUGAAAGCAGAGACAUGAUGGGGAGUUAUAAGCGAUUAUGACGAACUCAUGGAUCCCACACUGCCAAGAAAAACUUCUAGCGAGACGAAAUCCGCCCGUACCGUAAACCGACACAGGUAGGCGGGGAGAGAAUCCUAAGGUGCGCGGGAAAACCCUCGUUAAGGAACUCGGCAAAUUGCAUCCGUAACUUCGGGAGAAGGAUGGCCCUGAGUAGGCGAAGUGCAGAAACGCACGGAACAGAAAAGGGUGGCAGAAAAGAGGCCCAAGCAACUGUUUACCAAAAACACAGGUGCCUGCGAAAGCGAAAGCUGAAGUAUAGGUGCUGACGCCUGCCCGGUGCUGGAAGGUUAAGGAGAGAGGUUAGCGCAAGCGAAGCUUUGAACUGAAGCCCCAGUGAACGGCGGCCGUAACUAUAACGGUCCUAAGGUAGCGAAAUUCCUUGUCGGGUAAGUUCCGACCCGCACGAAAGGUGUAACGAUUUGGGCACUGUCUCAACGAGGGACCCGGUGAAAUUGAAAUACCUGUGAAGAUGCAGGUUACCCGCGACUGGACAGAAAGACCCCAUGGAGCUUUACUGCAGCUUGAGAUUGAAUCCCGGUGGCAGACGCACAGGAUAGGUGGGAGGCUUUGAGAUAGUGACUUUGGUUGCUAUGGAGCCGACGUUGGGAUACCACCCUUCUGUUGCUGGGAUUCUAACGCGAAGAUUAACAACCUUGCGGACCAUCUCAGGUAGGCGGUUUGACUGGGGCGGUCGCCUCCGAAAGAGUAACGGAGGCGCCCAAAGGUUCCCUCAGGCCGGACAGAAACCGGCCGAAGAGUGCAAAGGCAGAAGGGAGCUUGACUGCGAGACAGACAAGUCGAGCAGAGACGAAAGUCGGGCUUAGUGAUCCGGUGGUACUGCGUGGAAAGGCCAUCGCUCAACGGAUAAAAGCUACCCUGGGGAUAACAGGCUAAUCUCUCCCAAGAGUUCAUAUCGACGGGGAGGUUUGGCACCUCGAUGUCGGCUCAUCACAUCCUGGAGCUGGAGUAGGUUCCAAGGGUUGGGCUGUUCGCCCAUUAAAGUGGUACGCGAGCUGGGUUCAAAACGUCGUGAGACAGUUUGGUUCAUAUCCAUCGCGGGCGCAAGAAGUUUGAGGGAGGCUGCUCCUAGUACGAGAGGACCGGAGUGGACGGAUCAACGGUGUACCAGUUGUCACGCCAGUGGCACGGCUGGAAAGCCGCAUCCGGAAAGGAUAAACGCUGAAAGCAUCUAAGCGUGAAGCCCGUCCCAAGAUGAGACUUCUCAUCAGCAAUGAGUAAGACCCCUUAAAGACGAUGAGGUUGAUAGGCUGUGAGUGGAAGAGCCGCGAGGCUUGGAGCGACGCAGUACUAAUAGGUCGAGGUCUUAACUUA
rnacentral:rRNA from 1 species